rnacentral:rRNA from 1 species
AAACUGUAGAGUUUGAUCCUGGCUCAGAUUGAACGCUAGCGGCAUGCCUUACACAUGCAAGUCGAACGGCAGCACGGGGGCAACCCUGGUGGCGAGUGGCGAACGGGUGAGUAAUGCAUCGGAACGUGCCCAUUGAU